rnacentral:lncRNA from 1 species
GAGGAGAAGGCAACGGGGGUGAGAAUAGAAGAGAGUAACCUAAGUUAGCUGGAGUCGCGUACGGAAAGUGAUAGAUUUUGGGGAAAAUGAAAAGACAACUAUUGUACAGGUGUGCAUCUUAGAUUUCCAAGGCUUUUGCGCGUUUCUUUUCUUCAAUCGGUAUAUUCCCACACUUCAUGCACACGUACCACUGCUUUCCAAAUACGUACAUCCAAC